ensembl:lncRNA
CAAAGAAAGGAGCUGAUUUAUGAUGAGGAGAGGCUGCUGGUGGACUGGCUUGGUGCUGGACAAGUUAAUCGCUUGUUGGCACACCUGGGCUGCUGGCCGUGUUACCCAGGACUCACCUCCUUGCGAUUCUUCCUGGUGAGGCUCUGCCAUGCUUGAACCAGGGCAUCCUUUCUCUUGGCAGCCCUGCUGGUGCCGAUCCAUUGGGGCUCUGAACAUCAGAAUGGCACUGGGCCUCCAUGAAGUUCCUUAAGGAGGACAACAGAGGAAUGUUGGAUCCUAUGUGGCUGAUGUGUGGAUGUGAUAUUCAGAAAGCUAAUCCUUGACAGCAACAAAUUGGAAGUUCCUGGGCUUGCAAAUAAAUGUGGGUAUUUUCAUCAGACCUUCAUAUUUUCUUCAGUAACUGUGAAAUCAAAAGCACUUCUAAAAAUCCAUCGAGAACACUUUGGAGUCGUGGGGAAUAUCCAGGUUGGUCUGCUAGAAUUACUGGAUGGAAGAGACAGUGGAAAAUAAUAGUUGGCCACACUGGUCUCAGGAAAACAGGGCGGAAAUGGGUAAAGCCAUUAUGAAAACCAAUUUACCCUAGAAACCUGUAACUACAUAGGCUUUUUUUUAUUGUUAUUUCUGAACUCAGAGCUCUGUGUGAUUAAUGGAUCAAACAGUGUAAGCUAGACCUGAAAUGUCUGUUCGAAAAUAUUAUGUUAAAUGCUCCUGCUCAUUUGCAUACUGUCUGCCUGUUAAUAAAGUCACAGGAGAGGAAGAAAGCUGUAGAACUGUCUUAUCUGUACAAAUAACACCUUGCAUUUUGGAAACAGAGUGAUCUGCUUUGGAGGCCUCUGCUGCAGUAUUAGAUGACCACAGAGGACGCUGCUUUCAAAAGCAACACAGCUGAGCCUCCUGCCAGAGCUCUGCUCUGUAGCACUCACAUUUAGUGCUGGACAAACCAACCUAUGAUGUGUUUCCCAUGGUGCUGUGCAACCCCUCUGAGCUCCAGCAAGGAGGAUUUAAAAAGAAAUAGAGCAAAAGACAAGGACAGAUUUAAUGAGGGUUUUUGCUGUGCAAAGUCUAUGGCAUGAGGGCCAAAAUAAUGGGGAAGGAAUAGGUUGGUUUGCACAAGGCAGGCACUGUGCUGCUGCACCACUUCACCCUGCUAAUGCUGUACAAUGGGAUUCUGCUGAAACUCGGAUGUUGGCGAGCUCUGCUCUGGCUUCCUGCACAAAGACAAAUGUUAUGCUACUCUCAAGUAUGCCUGGAAUGUAAUUCUGCUGCCCUGCCAUUCAUUUGUGGUGCCUUUUCACAUUUGUGCUAAUGAGAGUUCUUUUCCAGAACUCCAGAAACACUUGGGUGAUGUUCGCACUGUGAAAUAAACAUUUAUUUGUGGUUUGGAAAGUUUUCCACUGCUUGGUGCUUUUUGCUUUUCAGAGCAAAAUUUUUCAGUGAAUGGGGCUGUGAUCCAGUUCUGACUGCAGAAAGUAAACAGUUUCUCUGCUGUGAAGAUCAGGAGGCACUGGGAACUUCUCAGGAAGCUUCUUUUCCCAAGAGAUCCUCAUUGGUGUUCACAUCACAGCCUCUUCCCAAGGAUGAGGUUCCCCAUCCCUCCCUCAGGUACAGAGCUCGCUGCAUCCUGCCCUCAGCUCCCCAUCAGCCCCGGGCUGAGCACUGGUGACCCUUGUGGCUGUGGUGCUCUUUGCUUACUGUCAUCAAGGUUGGGAAAGACCUCGAGGAUCUCCAAGUCCAAGCAUCAAUCCUAAGCGUUCCUCUUCUCCAUUUCUGAGCCCAGGACUCUCUGGCACCUCAGCCCAGCAGAGCGGAAGCAGCAAUGAUCUGAGAAAAAUAAAGUAUAUUUUGCAGUCAGAGCUUAGGGAGGAAAAGAGAAAUCAGAUGAGGCUUCCUGGAGCUCCACAAUCUCUUGAAAAUAAAUGAACAGAUUGCCAUGAAUGAAUAAACUGCUUCAGACGCUAAUUCACAUUCAGGAGGCCGCGGAGCUGAGGGUACCAGUGAAGAUGACAGAAACAUUUCCCUCUGAUUGUUCCUGCAUCGCGCCGUCUCAUUGCUGAAGGUAGCAAACAGAAGAUAGCCGUGCUCUGCACACAAACCGCUCGGCACAGAUGGCUCCGGGUGCGUCUGUCGGCUGCGAGCUCAGUGCACAUUGCUGCCCAUGGAAACUGCAGCACUGCCUCAGGAGAGGAAAAGUGGGGAAAUUCAGUCAGUAGCAACCAAAGGGCAAUGAAUCUCAUGGCCUGCAGGAUGUCUACCAAUGGGAAAGCAAGUGCUCACAGAGGAAGCCUGGCUGAAGCAGCAAUGAGUUUUCUGAUGUGCCCUGAAUCAAUUGGUUUCAGCAUUCUCUCAGUAAUUUGGACACCUCGGUGCUGUACAGAAGGCCUGUGAUGUAAUACACCUCAAAUUUGUUAUACUUCACUGGCUCUGCUUCUGGGGAACAGAUAAAAGAACGAGGCAAACCUUGAUGUGAGGAUAUAUCCAAAACAUGGAACUUCGACUCUUGGUGUGAUUUAUAACAGGUCACAGGAGGACCUGCAGUUCAGGUACAGCUGACAUGUCAGAGCCUACAGUUACUUUAGGAAGCACAAAUUCAUCUGAAAUGCUGUGUCAGAGCAUCCUGCUGAGUUCCCUCUCCUGCACAGAAGCUCUACAACAGGCACACUGCGUUGGAAGCGCCUGUCUCAGGAAAGCAGCCACUGCUACACUAACAUCUCACGUAGUGCUCUGCACUCUUGUUUUAGGAGGAACUGCAUUUGAUCCUGUAAAACAAACGGUCUCCUAAGAGCAUAUUCUGCUGGCAUUGAAGCACAGACAGCAUUCUCCUGUCUGCACUGCCAGGAUCACUCUGCUUGCAGCACACAGAGCCGGUAGAGCCAGGGAAGGAGCCUGGCUGAGCAAGGUGCACCAAGGCCAAAUGCCAUCAGGGCAGAGUGGAGCUGGGGGUCCAUUCCUUGUGCUGUUGGUGUGAAUAGGGCUGCAUGGCCGCUGCUCCCUCCGCUCCAAUAAUAAAGCCUGUUAUGGGAAGGCAGGGAGGGAUCUUUUGGCCAGAUCAGAAGCAUCCACUUUGUCAAACAGCCGCAUGCUAGCUGGCUUAAUGGAAAUUAGCUGUGGCACUGCAGGACAGGAGAAGAUGCCUUUUCAUGAAUAAAUGAAAUGCAUGAGCGAUGCUUCCUUAAAAAAAAGGAUAAAAAUAGAAUCUGAAAUGUGAAGUCUGCAGCAUGCAGGCACGGGAGGUGUGUCCUGACAAAGCUAACAGAGUGCAGUUCUGACAUGGACUGCUUGCACAGGCUUGCCUGGGAGGGAGGGGGUUAGUUCAUGGGUGGGGGAGGGAUCCUGAAUUAACUGAGCAGUCAGUAACCAGAGCUAAUAAGGACACCUUUACCAUCCGUGUGGAGGGUUAUUUCAGUAUGCUGUAUUUGCUUUAGAAGGCACUCGAGGAAUUUUGCAAAUUACAAUGGUCUGUUCAAACUAUUUCUGCCAUUUAAAGAAGAUGUAAAUAAGUCAAAUGACCAUUACAUGCCAUGAUUCUAUGAUUACUUCCUCUGCUUUCUCCCAGAUCUCAGGUCUGGAAGAUGCAGCAGACAUUACGGACUUAGCAAUUGCUCUUUUUUCAGGGGCUCCCCCAGCCCAGUGGAGCCAAACUCAGGAUGCUGUGGAGAUGGGGACCCCAGCAGGGGUCAUGGUGAGGUGAGGCAUCAUGCAGCCCAGGGGUGGCCCAGCCCCACUGCCCUGCCAGCUGCUCACCUCCCCUCUACCCACCAGCACAGGCACAGCAGGCUGCCAGCUUCCCACUGCUGUUUCCCCUCCCCAGGCACAGCAGACACACUUCUUCCAUUUUCUUUCUCCACUGAACAUGAUUCAGAGGUCUGUUAUUUCCUUGUUCUCUCCUCUGGCACCCCAGAUGGUUCAGGGAUGGCAAGUAAGCAACACAGAUGCAGGGAAGGCAAGUAAAUACCACAAUUCAAAGAAGUACUUUAAACUGAGAAUGUCCAGAAAUGUAUUCAAGGAAUUGAUCUGUGUUAAAGGCGAAGCAUUGUAAGGACUCCUAGUUUGCAAUAAGUCUCACUGACUCUGCACUUAGCAGGAACAAUUUCCUUCCCUUCCUGCGAGCAAUGUGAUCUGAGCUGCCCUGAAUGGGAAAUCAGUUAGGCUGACAUCUAAAACCUCUUUCUUUGGGGAAAAUGCAGUCUAGGCAGAAUCACAGAAUCUCAACAUCAUUUGAGUUGGAAGGGGCCUUUCAAGGCCCUCUGGUCCCACUCCCUCAAUGCAGAGGGACACCACAGUUCCAUCAGUGCUCAGAGCCCAUCCCCUGACCUUGGCUGUCUGCAGGGAUGGGGCAGCCCCACCCCUUUGGGGAGCCUUUGCAGUGCCCCACUUCCCUUAGCAUAAAGAACUUUUUCCUUGUAUCUAGUCUAAAUGCAGGCUCCCACCUUAAAGCCAGGACUCGGCAAGAGCUCCAGGACAUUACAGGUGCCCCUAAGUCUCAAAAUUCCCACUAGUAUUCCACUGAAACUCCUGUAGGUGCACAGAACUCUGUUGUCUCCCUCUAGCCUGUGUUGCUCAGCCAAGUGUGACAUUACAGGAGCUCAGGCUUUGUGCCCACACCCAAAUUCCAGGUAAGAGCUCAGCCCUGAGCACAGGAUGUGCUGUUUCCAGCCCGCUUCACCGAGCUGUGAACAUCAAAUACUGCUGAUGCUGAAAGUAGAAUUUAGUUGUAAAGCUGACCUCAACUUCAUGGAAGAAAAAUCUACUGGAGAAUACUACAUGCUGAUAACAUCAGUGCAGCUCUGGCCUCACUGCCCUCCCAGACACACUGCUGGAGGCUGGGAUGUGCUCAUGUGUUACUGUCCUGGCCCAUCUCAGGCUGCAGGCCCAGCAGUGCAGGGGACAGCUCUGGCUGCUGCAGCUCUGCUCCCUCUGGCUCUCACGCAGAGACCAAAGACCUGUUGGGUGUAUUUCUGGGAAAGCAUUGUCCAGCUCCUCUCACUGCAGCCCAACCCCGGCACCUAUAAUCUCCCUCACCUCUACUCCCCCACCAAGCUGAGACCAAACAGCAGAGCAAUACUGUUAUUACAAGAAGCAAUUACAUUCACUCCUCUGAAGUUCCUCAUCGCUUGUCUCCCAGCACACACUGAUGCUGAGAAGAUAUCAAGCUCUCAGAAUAUUCUUUUUAACUUUCAAAGCUUUCAAUCUUUAAAUACAUCAUUGUCUUUAUCUCCUAAGACCUCUCGGUGUGAUAGUCUUGGUUUUCAAAGCGAGACAUGAGGAAUUCCUGGGCAGGGCCAAUUACCUAACUGCAUCUUUCCCAGUCUUUUCAAUAGUUGAUAGCAAAAGCAGCUUUAUCCACAGAGCCAUGCUGUUACUGUGCUGUACUGCACACAACAAAGAUAUGGAGGUAAUUCAGAGAGAUAAUACAAAAAUAUAGAAUGCUGGCAAUCUGGACAAGUCUUUUUUGAGUACAUAAGGAAAAAAAAAACAACAAAGUUAAGAAGAAAUAAGAAUGGAAGCAUAACUGAGACUAGAAGAAGGACAAACACUGCGGCUGUUUACCAAACAGAUAGAAGAGAAUUGCUACAUUCCUGGCCAUCCCAGCCAGACAGUGCACCUCACGGCUGCUUACUGGGUGUGCCUUUGUGAGGUUGCACUCCAAUGGGAUUGCUGAGAUAAACCACCACCAACAGUAAUAAUAACAAUUAAUAAUAGUAAUUUCUUUUUAAUCCAUAUCUAUCAGUAGAUCUAUAACUUACUGCACUAGUGACAUGGUGGAGGAGGAGUGGGUGUUAAGAGGUGAAUCAGGGAGAAGGAGGAGGGCUGUAGAGAAGCUCUGCCAGCAGGAAGCAUUUGUACGAAGUCAGCUCCGAAUGGGGUAACCACGUUCUUCCAAUGGCCAGGUCUGCAAGCUCAGGACAAAAAGAGGAAAUCCCCACCAGCAUGGUCAUUCUCACCUCUGGUCAGACACAGGUUCCUCUUUUCUAUCUAAGUGCAAAUGCUCAUCAGGAAAAUGUAAAACUGUUCUGAAAAUCACAUAUUUUCUCUGACAUCACCUUUCUGAAGUAUGAGCUCAUAAGUGCAGAAGGUGGCACCAUGCUUUGAGAGAGCUGUACUUUCUGUGGGCACAUCUUGGUUUUAUGACAUCUGAAUGACCGGGUCCUUACUGUACUCUUCAGCACAUGUAAUAUCAUUACGCCUUGCAAUUUAAUAUCUUAUUAAAGAUAUCAGGGUCACGGUUCCCAGUAAGUGCUGCUUGCAUUUUUUUUCCCUUAAAUAUAUUAAGAUUAAAUUCAAUUGAAAUUAAAACAAUAUAAAAGUUACUAAAAAAAUCCCUAUAAAUGGAGUCUGAAUUUCUAUGGCUAUUACCUCAUUUUACACUUCAGACUUAUCUUUGGGUGACAGGAAGCCAAAAUUCUGAAAUGGUUUAAUUAGACUGAAAAUUAUAUUUAAUAAAGUUCUGCUGAAGAAAUACAAGUAAAUGCUAUUAACUUCCCUGAGAACUGGAUGUGAAGAGUGAGAACAGGACCCUGCAGUUAUAGAGAGAAGGGCCUCACAGCAAGAAAAGGGAAAGUAGCUUCACAAAGUAGAAAUAAGGGGCAAAUAGAGACAGUUUAUGUAGAGAGUGUUAGAAAACAAGGGAUUCGCACUUUCGCAGACACCAGGUCUGGAGUAACAAGGAGGAUGAAGGCCAUAAAGAUAAGGACUGGAGAGCAGCUUGAAAACAUUUGGCGGGGGGGUGAUUAGAUGUCUACAGGCAAGCUGCAACCGGUUUGGGGGAUGCCCCCCCCUUCAGGAUCAGAAGAUUGCAGUGAGGAAGACUACAAGCCUUCGCGAGGAAGACUACGAGCCUUCAUCAUCAUGACCUGCUACGCACGCGCA